rnacentral:rRNA from 1 species
AUUGAACGCUGGCGGCAGGCUUAACACAUGCAAGUCGAGCGGGGGAAGGUAGCUUGCUACCGGACCUAGCGGCGGACGGGUGAGUAAUGCUUAGGAAUCUGCCUAUUAGUGGGGGACAACAUCUCGAAAGGGAUGCUAAUACCGCAUACGUCCUACGGGAGAAAGCAGGGGAUCUUCGGACCUUGCGCUAAUAGAUGAGCCUAAGUCAGAUUAGCUAGUUGGUGGGGUAAAGGCCUACCAAGGCGACGAUCUGUAGCGGGUCUGAGAGGAUGAUCCGCCACACUGGGACUGAGGCACGGCCCAGACUCCUACGGGAGGCAGCAGUGGGGAAUAUUGGACAAUGGGGGGAACCCUGAUCCGGCCAUGCCGCGUGUGUGAAGAAGGCCUUAUGGUUGUAAAGCACUUUAAGCGAGGAGGAGGCUACUUUAGUUAAUACCUAGAGAUAGUGGACGUUACUCGCAGAAUAAGCACCGGCUAACUCUGUGCCAGCAGCCGCCGUAA